rnacentral:rRNA from 1 species
CAGCCCUAAACGAUGCGCGUUAGGUGUAUCGGUGACCACGAGUCACCGAGGUGCCGAAGGGAAACCGUGAAACGUGCCGCCUGGGAAGUACGGUCGCAAGGCUGAAACUUAAAGGAAUUGGCGGGGGGAGGCACCACAACGGGUGGAGCCUGCGGUUUAAUUGGACUCAACGCCGGGAAGCUCACCGGAUAAGACAGCGGAAUGAUUGCCGGGCUGAAGACCCUGCAUGACCAGCUGAGAGGAGGUGCAUGGCGUAGACGUCU